UACGUAGGGUGCAGGCGUUGUCCGGAAUUAUUGGGCGUAAAGAGCUCGUAGGCGGUCUGUUACGUCUGCUGUGAAAACCCUGGGCUUAACCCUGGGCUUGCAGUGGAUACGGGCAGACUAGAGGCAGGUAGGGGAGAAUGGAAUUCCCGGUGUAGCGGUGAAAUGCGCAGAUAUCGGGAGGAACACCGGUGGCGAAGGCGGUUCUCUGGGCCUGACCUGACGCUGAGGAGCGAAAGCGUGGGGAGCGAACAGG
rnacentral:rRNA from 1 species